AGAGACGACCAAUCCUCUAGGGAGAAGAGUUGAAUGAAGGCUGCAGAGAGUCCUCCAGGGAACAGUGCAUGGAGCCUCUUCACCCAGUCAUUCACUUCCUCCUCUACGUGCUCGCCUACUUCUGCGUCUACUCGUGUCUGUAUUUGUUGGUGUAUUUCAUUAGCAUCUUUACAGAGGAUUAGGCAGCCCGUUGGACAGAGCCUCUUUAGGUACAGAAGACCCUACCCACUGCCCAAGGUGAGAUCUAAGACCCAGCUGACAUUGGCCAAGGAAGGACAGGGUGGGAGGGCUUCCAGCCAUUGCCAGGCUUGUGAAGGGACAAAGGCUGGCCUGGCAGACAUAUGAAUAUGGUUACUAACUCAGAGACUGGAAAACCUCCAAGGCUACUGUUAAUUAACAAAAGCCAAUGCUCACCUUAUAGACCUGCAGCCAUGGAGAGAGAAGGCUUUCUUUCAGCAGCAUGUGGGCUGCCCCUCGAGAAACAGCUAAUUUCUUUCAAAUGCUGUAAACUGGAAAAAUCUAAAGUGCUCAUCAGAUAAACCAAUUUAAAAAGAACU
ensembl:lincRNA uncharacterized LOC110322844